AGAGUUUGAUCCUGGCUCAGGAUGAACGCUAGCUACAGGCUUAACACAUGCAAGUCGAGGGGAAACGACAUCGAAAGCUUGCUUUUGAUGGGCGUCGACCGGCGCACGGGUGAGUAACGCGUAUCCAACCUGCCCAUCACUUGGGGAUAACCUUGCGAAAGUAAGACUAAUACCCAAUGAUAUCUCUAGAAGGCAUCUGAAAGAGAUUAAAGAUUUAUCGGUGAUGGAUGGGGAUGCGUCUGAUUAGCUUGUUGGCGGGUAACGGCCACCAAAGCAACGAUCGAGUAGGGGUUCUGAGAGGAAGGUCCCCCANAUUGGAACUGAGACACGGUCCAAACGUCCUACGGGAGCA
rnacentral:rRNA from 1 species